rnacentral:sRNA from 1 species
ACGAAGUCGAGUGCAGGCCUAAAGGGCGAC